rnacentral:misc_RNA from 1 species
GAUGAAGAACGCAGCGAAAUGCGAUAAGUAAUGUGAAUUGCAGAAUUCAGUGAAUCAUCGAAUCUUUGAACGCACCUUGCGCCCUUUGGCUAUUCUGAAGGGCAUGCCUGUUUGAGUAUCAUGAACACCUCAACUCUCAUGGUUUGCCAUGAUGAGCUUGGACUUUGGGGGUCUUGCUGGCCUACGGUCAGCUCCUCUCAAAUGAAUCAGCUUGCCAGUGUUUGGUAGAGUCGCAGGUGUGAUAACUAUCUACGCUUGUGGUUUUCUGCCAGAUAACCUUCAGUGAUGGAGGUUCGCUGGAGCUUAUAAAUGUCUCUCCCCAGUGAGGACAGCUUUUUGAACGUUUGAUCUCAAAUCAGGUAGGACUACCCGCUGAACUUAAGCAUAUCAAUAAGCGAGGA